UUAACUCAAAUUUGUAUAGAGUUGGAACGUUUGCCUACGUUUGCCGCUAGGGGCGCUGUUCAAACUGAAUACAAAUUUUAGUUA
rfam:Bombyx mori DNA, contig: Bm_scaf42_contig23985, strain: p50T/Dazao, build 2, whole genome shotgun sequence.